CUAAUCUAAAGGCCUUUGCGAUGUUAAAUUGUGAACAUCUUGAGGUUUCAUUAAAGGGUGUGGCCAUGGCGCCAUGACAAAGUUCGAUGUCUCGCCAUGGGAAUAGAAGUUGUUGUAACUCAGGCAUAAGAUGUCCGAUCUUCCCCAAACUUCACAUGUUCGAAAAGAGUCUUGGCCUGAACACAUCUGAAGGUCAUUAUUCCACUAUGAUCAUAGCGCCACCUGCUGGCAACAGGAAAUGGCUUGUUUUACACUAACUUAAACAUGCAAUGUCCAAUCUGCACCAAACUUCAAAUAUUUGAUAAGAGUCAUGGCCUGAAGAUAUCUAAAGGCCAAUGUUCAGUUAUAAUCAUAGCGCCACCUGUUG
ensembl:lncRNA